UACGUAGGGGGCAAGCGUUGUCCGGAAUCAUUGGGCGUAAAGAGCAUGUAGGCGGCCCGGUAAGUCCGCUGUGAAAGUCCAGGGCUCAACCCUGGGAUGCCGGUGGAUACUGUCGGGCUCGAGUCCGGAAGAGGAGCGUGGAAUUCCUGGUGUAGCGGUGAAGUGCGCAGAUAUCAGGAGGAACACCAAUGGCGAAGGCAGCACUCUGGGACGUGACUGACGCUGAGACGCGAAAGCGUGGGGAGCAAACAGG
rnacentral:rRNA from 1 species